rnacentral:lncRNA from 1 species
UUACAAGAGAGGGCCCCUUAAUGGGGCUGAAACUCAUCCAUUUUACAAACUUAAUCUCCAGCAUACCCUCUCUACAAAAGAAACCAUAGCAGCCCUCCCCCCAAGCUGUCCGUUCUUCACUCCUAAGGUACCCCCAAGUUGAAUCUUCUUCUCCUUUCAAAUUCAAGUUGGAGGAACACUCUUAGCCCUAAAGAAUCCACAAGAUAUAAGUGUUAUCUUCAAGGUAUGUUGCUGUAAUUCCAACCCCUUUUAAUUAUAUUUAACUAGGGGCAACCAUACUUGUUUUAGUUAAGAAUUCGCAGGCUAACGUGUUGAGGAUGGUAAGUUUGAUGUUGUGCCCAUUUUGUGGCUUAAUUUAGGGUCUGUUUUGGGUAUAAUUUGGUCAUGUAACAGCCUAGGUAUGGUAUUUUAUUUUCACCCUAAUUAAGAGCUAGUUUUAACAUUGUAAAUAUAAUAUUGGCUGAAAAUUACGGGACGGUGAUUGGAAGGGACGGUGAUUGGAAGUCGUGAGUUCAAAUUGUGUAACUUAUGACGGAUUGUUUUGGGACUCUUUUGUGGAAUGCUUUGUGGAAUUUUUUGUGAUGUAUUGUGAUGGAUAUAAGAUUGGAUAUUGAUGCAUAUAUAAUCGUUGGUAUGCUGGACAUAUUGGUCUUGUUGUUUGAUUUGAGAAAAAUAAAAAGAAUAAGGGGAACGUGUUGUCCAAAUUUUCGUAGACAAGUUAGUCAUUCAUUUGUUUUGAAUUCUAGCUUAAAAAUGAUCCCUUGUCAUUUUUUAUAGAUUGAAGUACUAACGGGUUGAACCGGCGCCGUGUGAUUAAGUAGACAACAAAGGUAUGUAGGUCAUUCGAUUCCGUAUUCUUUGGCAUGAAGUCACGCGUAAGAUACUCCUAUCGACAAAAUCAGCUCUAUUAAUUUUCCUCUCAAUGAAAGAGGGGACAUGGGCAAGUAAAUGGUUCAUGAGUAGUGUACUUGAUCCCGUAGUUGACACUCCCAGUUUUAUGUUUGAAAUCUAUUUUUAUGAUAAUCGAGCCACAAGAUAAAAGGCUAAUUCUUCAAAGUAUAGUCACAUAAGCAUUCUUGAUGUAAGGAUCACUUGUAGAGCUAUAGUGAGUUUUAUUGUUCCACAUAGGAGUUUUGAUCUUUUUUUCUAUGCUAUAUAAUAUGUGAUCACAAUCGUAAAUGUCAUUGGUAUCUCUUGUGCGCAUAAGAUUUUAAAGUACAAAGAUUACGUGAUCACUUAGUAAAGGUAAUAAAAGUCAAAUGUAUCAUUAAAAGAAGCUAUGUGUACAUGAUCAUAGUGACAUCAUCCCAGGGGCUACUAGCCUAGUUGGGUCAUGGAUGGUGACAUUAUGCCAGGGGCCAUUGUUUCCGAACUCGUGUUAAUAUAAUUGCACCCUCGCAGGGGCCAAAGAUCAUAGCUGGGGUCAUGAUUAUUGAUACACCAUCCCUGGGGAAAUGAGUCUAGCUCGGGUCAUAUUCAUGCCACAUUUAGUUGGCCGUUUACUUUGGAUUCUAUCGAGGCUAAUUCUAUACCGUUCAUGAGACAUAUGUACAUGCUUACAGAUAUGGUAUAGAUUGACUAAGGUACAGUUAAAGGUGGCAUCUUUUUAUAUGUACAUUAGUGCUUUUAUGAAUUCUUUCAUCUCCUAUAUGUUACUUUGUGCCUUACCUACUCAGUACAUUCUUCUGUACUGACUUCCCCAUUGGGGACGCUGCAUUUCAUGCUGCAGGCAGAGGUACUCCAGUUAGUAGACCUCCACUAGAAUAGAGUACAUGGCGUACUUGGCUAUCUUGGAUAAGCUCCAUAAUGUUUGGGGCCUUACCGAGUCAUGUAUAUAUGUUUUGGUAUUGUAUAAGGAUUAAGGGUAAGGCGGGACCCUGUCCUGACCUAAG